GAACAAUUGGUCUGCCAGCAUUGGAGUGUGGUUAAUCAACUAACAAGCUUAUAAAUACAAUAGAUACAGCAAUAUGCUGCUUGUCGAGAGCUCUGUUUCCGAAGGGUCUCAAGCCAUGCCAGAGAAUAUCGCAUUAGCCGUGGCUCUCGCACGCUGCGGUCAGGGAAGCGCCGGCUCUUCCUCUCCUUCCACAGCGAUACAAGGAGGAUUUAAUGGGGCAAAGCUCUGCUGAGGAACCGGGAAAAUGCCAACUGCUUUGAGCUUUCGGGAAGUGCACAUGAGCACAAGCACUCAUCCUCCCGAGCACCCUGCCCUGCUCUCAUGGGGAUGGAGAAGGGUCUCAGUCUGGGAUUUACCAGCCAGAAGCAGCACUAACCCUGCAGCAGAAGGGUCUGACACUCUCUCAUCCCCUUUUCAAACCUGCUGGGGGAAAAAGGUCCCCCCAAAUCCCUCCUGUUGCCCUGCACACUGGCAGAGGGAAGCCUUGCUGCUGUGAGGGGUGGGCUGCUGAAACCCCAGGCAGGCCACAGGAACACAACAUGGGCAGAGAGGGAAGAACUGGCAAUUCCCUGUGCUCCUUUACCCUCCAGCCCCAGCAGAGCAGCCGCCGGUUGUCACCUCCCCACCGAC
rnacentral:lncRNA from 14 species